UGAAAUACAAGUGCUUAUGUAUUCUAUUUUAGAAUACAAGUGAAUUGUUCACUUUCUUUUGAGCUGAACUGGUACAUUUUACUAUUUUAGAAUACUUUUGAGCUGAACUGGUUGGUGUAUGAAAGCCAAUAACAUCUAUGACUGUUUUUCUUAUUUUUAGUGGUCUAUAUAAAAGACUCACACCAAUUAUUAGCAGAAUAUUCAGCAUGCCCGGUUGUUGGGAAAACUAGCUGAAUCAGGCAGGGAGCGUUCCACUUCCAUUUCGUCUGUCCGGGCUGGAGGUCAUGUGGACCGUUGGAUCCUGUUUGGGCGGCCAGGGUUUGACGACCAAGUCUCUUUCUCUGCUCAUAUGGCCCCACCAGGAGCCUCAGCGUCAACGGCAACAGCACGAAGCAGACAAGCAGAUUCUCCCACUCCCUUCUCUUCUCCUGCUCCGUCGCCCGCCUUCGCUGCUCGGGAGUCGGGACCCACCUGACCAACCAUGGAAGCUGAUCCGCCGUUGCCGCCAGCGAGCGCACUGAUGGUGGAGCUCGUGGAGGAGGUCCUGCUGCGCUUCCCACCUGCGGACCCGGCAAGCCUCGUCCGGGCCGCGCUCGUCUGCAGACGCUGGCGCCGCAUCGUCACGGGCCCGCGGUUCCGCCGCCGCUACCGCGACCUCCACCUCCACCGCGGGCGCGGGGGUUCGCAUCCCCCGAUGCUGGGCUUCCUCGCCAACGCCGGCACGGGGACCCGCUUCGUGCCUACCUCCACCUUCCGCCCCGCAUCCGCGCGCGCGCGCGCGGCCGCGGAUGGCCUCCUCCUUCUCGGCGGCUGGCGCGCGCUCGACGCCCGCCACGGCCGCGCCCUCCUGCGCCGGGACACCGGCCGCGACGCGCCCGUCGACUGCGAGCUCGCCGUCUGGGACCCCGCCACAGGCCGCCGUACGGACCUGCCCCGCCUCCCCUGGUCGCCCUACCCCUACAGCUGGAACGCCGCCGUGCUCUGCGCCGCCACAAUCACCGCCUCCGCCUGUGACCACCUCGACUGCUGCGGCGGCGGCCACUUCCUCGUCGUCGUGGUGGGCACCAACCACGCGGAGAUGUUCGCCCAUGUCUACUCGUCGGAGGCGGGCGCGUGGAACGCGCCCGCGUCCGCUCGGCACCCAGACGACAACGUCGACUUCGCGCCCAGCGCGCUCGCCGGGAACGCGCUCUACUUCGCGUUCCAGACGGGCGCGGCGGCCCUGGAGUACGAUUUGGGCACGCGGGAGAUGGCGGUGGUGCGCCUGCCGCCGCCGCCACGCUUGGACUGGCAGCGCGCUGUGCUCGCCACCAGGGACGAUGGUCGUCUGGGACUCGCCACGGCAGGCAAGUCCACGAUCUACCUGUGGGCGAGGGAGGCGCCGCCUCGAGGAGAUGGGAGUUGGGUACAGACCAGAGCCAUCGAGCUUGACACGCUGCUCCCUGUCGGUGCCCUCUCGGCCUUUGUUGAUGUGGUUAGCUUUGUGGAUGGCGUCGGUGUCGUGUUUGUGCGGACGGGCGAUGGGCUAUUCACCAUUGAUCUGAUGUCUCGCCGGGUCACAAAGGUAUUCAAGGACACUUUCUUCUCCGGCAUUUUCCCCUACAUGAGCUUCCACACUCCAGCACUGGAAGUUGCCUCAACUGGUGAGGGGCCAAGUUCAGGUACUUAAGGUGCUUAUGUGCAGGUUUCUCAGUCAAGGGGAAACUUAGUUGCCUCUCGCGUUGUCUCCUCAGGAGCAAGAGAGAACUCCCAAAUGGAAAGUUUCCUUUUUGCAGUCCUGGGUGAGCUGAUAUCUCGAUCCAUAAAUGUUAGGCAAUAGAAUAUGCCAUCUGUGGAUAUCCUAGCUGCUAUAGAUAGCAGAUGUAAAUUAGGGAUGGAAUCCUAGCUGCUAUAGAUAGCAGAUGUAAAUCAGGGAUUAGUUGC